UUCGUGGUAUUGUAUUGCCUGCAGCGGUUGUAAAAGUAAGGCCACCAGAGGCCUUUCUUCGUUGAUGUGCGCUAAGUGUGUCAACACUAACGUUGCUGGUGUAGAAAAGUAUGAACUCUAACCUCACAACUUCAUGUUUAAUCAUUUUAGAAUUUGGUAUUUGUGUUCUUUUCUUUGCAGGUACCUUGCGAAGAUCUAUGUCUACAACAAUAAUGAACAGGCUGUUUUCGUCUUACUUAGUGAUGCAGGACAUGAGUUGACAGGGAAGGGUGCUGCAGAAUUGGUUGACAACUACUCUGAGGCUAAUCAAGAACUUGGUGCUGGUCAUGAGAUUACUGUCCCCAGGCUUUAAUCCACACAAUUGGAAAAACACAUAAUUUCAGGAUCAAGGUGUCUGACUACAACAUCACAGGCAAGAUCCAAGGGAUGAAGUUGAUGGGUGCCUUCUGCAAGUGUAGUUUGUGCAUCUUCUAAGAGCUGUGGAUCCAUUGCUGAUUAGUAAAAUGAAGUUAUAUAUUGUGUAAUGUAGCUUUAGCAGAAAGAAAUGGGAAUAUAUUUGUAUGUCGUAGCUAGCAUAGGAUUCAAGUGAGAUAAGUAAUUUUAUUGUGUUUGAUCAUUUGUAGUAGCUUUUUUCUAUGACGAGUAAUUUUUUGUGCUCA